rnacentral:rRNA from 1 species
GACGUAGGAUGCAAGCGUUGUCCGGAUUUAUUGGGCGUAAAGAGUUCGUAGGCUGUCCGUUAAGUCUGGUGUUAAAGAUUGGGGCUCAACCCUGAGACUGCACUGGAUACUGGCGGGCUGGAGUAUGGUAGAGGUGAGCGGAAUUCCUGGUGUAGCGGUGAAAUGCGUAGAUAUCAGGAAGAACACCAGUUGCGUAAGCG